UAGGGAAUCUUCCACAAAUGGACGAAAGUCUGAUGGAGCAACGCCGCGUGAGUGAAGAAGGGUUUCGGCUCGUAAAACUCUGUUGUUAAAGAAGAACAUAUCUGAGAGUAACUGUUCAGGUAUUGACGGUAUUUAACCAGAAAGCCACGGCUAACUGCGUGCCAG
rnacentral:rRNA from 1 species